rnacentral:tRNA from 1 species
GUGGGUAUAGCUCAGUGGUAGAGUGUGUGCUUAGCGUGCACGAGGUCUUGGGUUCACUCCCCAGUACCUCCU